rnacentral:rRNA from 2 species
GGUUAAGCGACUAAGCGUACACGGUGGAUGCCCUGGCAGUCAGAGGCGAUGAAGGGCGUGCUAAUCUGCGAUAAGCGCCGGUAAGGUGAUAUGAACCGUUAUAACCGGCGAUACCCGAAUGGGGAAACC